ACUCAAAGGAAUAGACGGGGGCCCGCACAAGCGGUGGAGCAUGUGGUUUAAUUCGACGCAACGCGAAGAACCUUACCUGGGUUUGACAUCCUUUGACCGCCCUAGAAAUAGGGCUUAUCCGACUUGUCGGAUCAGAGUGACAGGUGCUGCAUGGCUGUCGUCAGCUCGUGUCGUGAGAUGUUGGGUUAAGUCCCGCAACGAGCGCAACCCUUGUCUCUAGUUGCCAAUAUUAAGUUAGGGACUCUAGAGAGACUGCCUCGGUUAACGAGGAGGAAGGUGGGGAUGACGUCAAGUCCUCAUGGCCUUUAUACCCAGGGCUACACACGUGCUACAAUGGGCUGUACAAAGGGUUGCUAACUCGCGAGAGUACGCUAAUCUCAAAAAGCAGUUCUCAGUUCGGAUUGGAGUCUGCAACUCGACUCCAUGAAGUUGGAAUCGCUAGUAAUCGUGGAUCAGCAUGCCACGGUGAAUACGUUCCCGGGCCUUGUACACACCGCCCGU
rnacentral:rRNA from 1 species